AUUGAACGCUGGCGGCAGGCCUAACACAUGCAAGUCGAACGAGUGGCGGACGGGUGAGUAAUGUCUGGGAACCUGCCCGAUGGAGGGGGAUAACUACUGGAACCGGUAGCUAAUACCGCAUACCAUCGGAUGUGCCCAGAUGGGAUUUGCUUGUAGGUGGGGUAACGGCUCACCUAGGCGACGAUCCCUAGCUGGUCUGAGAGGAUGACCAGCCACACUGGAACUGAGACACGGACCAGACUCCUACGGGAGGCAGAAGUGGGGAAUAUUGCACAAUGGGCGCAAGCCUGAUGCAGCCAGGCCGAGUGUAUGAAGAAGGCCUUCGGGGUGUAAAGUACUUUAAGCGAGGAGGCGUUACUCGCAGAAGAAGCACCGGCUAACUCCGUGCCAGCAGCCGCGGUAAUUC
rnacentral:rRNA from 1 species